rnacentral:lncRNA from 1 species
GGGGCGAGACCCGGGAUCUUGUUGCAGAUGAUGCUGGCUCCCAGGGCCACCACAGAGGAAAAACCCCCGAUCUUGAUAUACACAAUCCCCAGGCUCAGGAAGAUGUGGAAAAUCCAGCGCCUUGUUUUCCUGUUCAUAUUCCUUGCUUGCCGUGUCUCAGCCCAACAUGCGAAAUGAUGCCCGCGGCGCUGCUGGGCCGGGUCGCUCCCCGCUCCGGGCCGGGUCACGGCACUGCGCCCGACCGGGGCAGCCCCCGCCGCGCCCCGCGCCGCCCGCCGCUGCCUGCCGGGGUCUGCCCGGGGCCGCCGAGCAUGGCCCCGCGGGGCUGCGCUCUGCCCCUCUCGCCGCCUUUCCUUCGCUCCCGGAUUUGUAUGCCUGUCACACGCAGCGCUUUAUUGCCGGCGAUGUACGGGGCUGCGGGAUCCUCCCGAGCGCCGGCGGCUCCGGGCUUUCCCCCCAGGUGGAGCACGAUAGCAGUCUCCAAACACGGGUGUACAGCCUCUGGUAUCAAGAAGUGACAAACAGCACACCCAGUGACACCCACAGAGUGAAAACCUGUGCACGUAGCAGCCCGAAUGUGUUGGUAAGGUGCUCCCAGGUGCACCCAACCACUGCCCUCCAGCAGGUGCCAUCCAGCAGAUGGGAG